UAGGGAAUCUUCGGCAAUGGGGGGAACCCUGACCGAGCAACGCCGCGUGAGUGAAGAAGGUUUUCGGAUCGUAAAGCUCUGUUGUUAAGGAAGAACGAGUGUGAGAAUGGAAAGUUCAUGCUGUGACGGUACUUAACCAGAAAGGGACGGCUAACUACGUGCCAGCAGCCGCGGUAAUACGUAGGUCCCGAGCGUUGUCCGGAUUUAUUGGGCGUAAAGCGAGCGCAGGCGGUUAGAAAAGUCUGAAGUGAAAGGCAGUGGCUCAACCAUUGUAGGCUUUGGAAACUGUUUAACCUGAGUGCAGAAGGGGAGAGUGGAAUUCCAUGUGUAGCGGUGAAAUGCGUAGAUAUAUGGAGGAACACCGGUGGCGAAAGCGGCUCUCUGGUCUGUAACUGACGCUGAGGCUCGAAAGCGUGGGGAGCGAACAGG
rnacentral:rRNA from 1 species